AAUCAACGCUGGCGGCGUGCCUCAGACAUGCAAGUCGAACGAUUAAACUCGCCUUCGGGUGAGAUAUAAAGUGGCGCACGGGUGAGUAACACGUAAGUAAUCUACCUUCGAGUGGGGAAUAACGUCCGGAAACGGACGCUAAUACCGCAUAAUGCAGCGGCACCUAAUGGUGACAGUUGUUAAAGAUUUAUCGCUUGAAGAGGAGCUUGUGGCAGAUUAGCUAGUUGGUAAGGUAAUGGCUUACCAAGGCUACGAUCUGUAACCGGUCUAAGAGGACGGUCGGUCACACUGACACUGAAUAACGGGUCAGACUCCUACGGGAGGCAGCAGUCGGGAAUUUUGGGCAAUGGGCGAAAGCCUGACCCAGCAACGCCGCGUGAAGGAUGAAGUAUCUCGGUAUGUAAACUUCGAAAGAAUGGGAAGAAUCAAUGACGGUACCAUUUAUAAGCUCCGGCUAACUACGUGCCAGCCGCCGCGGUAACAC
rnacentral:rRNA from 1 species